rnacentral:rRNA from 1 species
GAUGAACGCUGGCGGCGUGCCUAAUACAUGCAAGUCGAGCGAACAGAUAAGGAGCUUGCUCCUUUGACGUUAGCGGCGGACGGGUGAGUAACACGUGGAUAACCUACCUAUAAGACUGGGAUAACUUCGGGAAACCGGAGCUAAUACCGGAUAACAUAUUGAACCGCAUGGUUCAAUAGUGAAAGGCGGCUUUGCUGUCACUUAUAGAUGGAUCCGCGCCGUAUUAGCUAUUUGGUAAGUUAACGGCUUACCAAGGCAACGGUACGUAGCCGACCUGAGAGGGUGAACGGCCACACUGGAACUGAGACACGGUCCAGACUCCUACGGGAGGCAGCAGUAGGGAAUCUUCCGCAAUGGGCGAAAGCCUGACGGAGCAACGCCGCGUGAGUGAUGAAGGUCUUCGGAUCGUAAAACUCUGUUAUCAGGGAAGAACAAAUGUGUAAGUAACUGUGCGCAUCUUGACGGUACCUGAUCAGAAAGCCACGGCUAACUACGUG